rnacentral:rRNA from 1 species
UACAGAGGUCUCAAGCGUUGUUCGGAUUCAUUGGGCGUAAAGGGUGCGUAGGCGGCGCGGUAAGUCGGGUGUGAAAUCUCGGGGGCUUAACUCCGAAAACUGCAUUCGAUACUGCCGUGCUUGAGGACUGGAGAGGAGACUGGAAUUUACGGUGUAGCGGUGAAAUGCGUAGAUAUCGUAAGGAAGACCAGUGGCGAAGGCGGGUCUCUGGACAGUUCCUGACGCUGAGGCACGAAGGCCAGGGGAGCAAACGGG